rnacentral:tRNA from 1 species
GCCUGGGUGGCUCAGUCAGUUGAGCAUCUGACUUUAGCUCAGAUCAUGAUCUCAUGGUUCAUGAGUUCGAGCCCCACAUCGGGCU